GCGGAGGAAAAGAAACUAACAAGGAUUCCCCUAGUAACGGCGAGUGAACCGGGAAAAGCUCAAAUUUGAAAUCUGGCGUCCUCAGGGCGUCCGAGUUGUAAUCUAUAGAAGCGUUUUCCGUGCCGGACCGUGUCCAAGUCCCUUGGAACAGGGUAUCAAAGAGGGUGACAAUCCCGUACUUGACACGACUACCGGUGCUCUGUGAUACGUUUUCUACGAGUCGAGUUGUUUGGGAAUGCAGCUCAAAAUGGGUGGUGAGUUCCAUCUAAAGCUAAAUAUUGGCGAGAGACCGAUAGCGAACAAGUACCGUGAGGGAAAGAUGAAAAGCACUUUGGAAAGAGAGUUAAACAGUACGUGAAAUUGUUGAAAGGGAAACGAUUGAAGUCAGUCGUGACCGAGAGGCUCAGCCGGCUCUGCCGGUGUAUUCCCCUCGGUCGGGUCAACAUCAGUUUUGUCCGGUGGAUAAGGGCGGUAGGAAGGUGGCACCCACGGGUGUGUUAUAGCCUGCCGUCGCAUACACUGGGUGAGACUGAGGAAUGCAGCUCGCCUUUAGGGCCGGGGUUCGCCCACGUCCGAGCUUAGGAUGUUGACAUAAUGGCUUUAAACGACCCGUCUUGAAACACGGG
rnacentral:rRNA from 1 species